CAACGAUGAGGAACUCGACCCGACCUGCACCUUUCAAUUCUCCAAGUUCCAUGCAAUAAGAAGAACUAUUUGCGAAUUUCCGGAUAUUCGCGGAGUAAAGACGAACCUGAGAAUUUCUGUGAUAAUCAACGAAAUUAAAGAGAAGGUAAGAUAUCUUACGAUUUUGGAUGACGAUGUGGGGAAGAGCAAGUAUGGCAGGUGUAAUGGUUCUGAUGUUGGCGUACGUGGUUCGUGGCGAAGGAGGGAACGGAGAAAUCGGUUCGACCGAUACAGAGGCGGAUAACAUUUUGGAGCGGGCGACUGUAUGGCUAUGGAGUCAGCGUGACAAGGACGCCGGCUGGGGAAACGACACGAAUCGUGUUUUGCUAGUUCUUCGGCUGAGUAAUCUGUCGCGCGAGGAUAACGUGGCUCCUAUAGCUCCGCUCGAGUUGCAACUGAGCAGCAAGCAGAUGGAACUUGAAAUAGUGUUGUUACUUUGGAGGCACAGGGAAGUUGGCUUUUCUCCGGUGCGGUUGGCACGUUACACCCUUGCCUUGAACGCUAUGUGUACGGAUCCAAGACAGUUUCACGGUCACGACUUGAUCGGUACCCUUCAACAUCACGAACCGCCAACGGAUUACGAAUUUGCUCUGACAACGCUGGCCGCGUGUAACGCACAAGCUCACGUACGAAAAAGGCAGAUACGUCGAUUAUUGGAUAUCGCGAACGCCGCUCAAGAUCACAAUGUCGACACCGUUGCGAUGGUGAUAUUAGCUUUAAAGUGUAUCGUUCAGGAUCACAGACAUCGAAAUCUUCAUCAUUUUGUGCGUAAACCAUCGAUCGGUUUGGCGCAGCAACAACGGUUGGACGGUAGUUUCGGAGAUGUUCGUACAACGGCUUUGGUAAUGCAAGCGCUGGAAGAAGCGGAAAACGAGCCGGCCGACAAUUGGAACAGAUCGGCCGCGUUGUCUUGGUUGACUAGCCAGCAACGUGCCGAUGGUUCUUUUGCUGGCGACGUUCGCGUAACCGCCGAAGCUCUUCUCGGCGUGGCUCCACGAGGUUUGGCCAGCAUCAGAACUCUCGAUUGCGGUCAGGGCCUCGUGGAAACCUCACCUCCACGAUUCACUAUCGCUGCUAACGAACCGGUGAUUUCGAACAAUCGUAACGAGAGCGUAGCGACGUUGCUGAUUGCUGGAAAUAAUGCGAGUACCCUAGCUACUGGAAACAAUGGAACAAACGGUAACGCUCGAAACAGUGGAAACUCUAUAAACAACGUAAACAAUGUAAACAGCGGAAACAACGGAAACAACGUGAGAAACACGUUGAAUUCAAACAACACGGAGAACGAUGCGAUCAACGCCGCUGCCGCCGCCGCCGCCGCCGCCGCCACCGCCGACGCCGCUACCGCUGCCGCCGCCGCCGCUACCGUUACCGUUGCCGCAUCGGUCCCCGUCAUGGUGAACGUUUCGUACACUUUAUGGGUCGGCAGUAACGUAAACGAAACGUACAGCCUGAUGGUAACAGCUCCUAAGAACGAAACGUUUUACGAAGUGAUGGUGUUGGCUGCAGAAAUGUCUCCGCAUUUUCAAUUUGUCUCAUCCAAAUGGCCAAACGGACACUACGUUCACGCUAUAGCCGGUUAUAAAGAGGAGCCAAUGUCCUAUCAUUAUUGGUUGUUGUAUCGGCUUACCGCUCUACCAGAUCCUUCUUCACCGCCGGGUAAUCAAUUGGUUGCCCCUGGAGGUGUCGACGAUCUACAAAUCAGCGAUGGCGAACAUUAUUUAUUUUGGUAUAAAAAACUAUGAGAAGCAACGAAACGUCGAUGUUUAGACGAAAUAAUUGAGAAAUGGAUCGAGCAGGAAGUAAGAACCGUACGGACGAAGGAAGCGUAAUCGAGAAGAUGAGAAGGCAAUGAGUAAAAAAGAAAAAAAGAAAAAAAGAAAAAAAGAAAAAAAGAAAAACGACAAAAAAAAGUAUUUAGUUGCUCGGAAACGAAAGCUCACUUUAUUCACUGCCAUCGCUAAACGCGUACGAUAACGUACUAGACAUUUUCCUAGGACGUUUUCAUAUGGUUCUUAGGAAGAUGACAAACAGAUAUAGAGCUGGCAGUGAUGCGCGUUUAAAAAGCUCUGCUCUAGUGGCCCGUCAUUCAGAUUCAACGCGAAUCGCAUUCGCUCGGAUAAAAGUAUAAAAAGGCGAAAAAUUCUAAAAGAAACAGCACCGGUUUUUAUCGACUGACGCACUCGAACAAAUAACCGACAAACAAACACCAUGCGUACCAGCAUCGUUACAUAUGUAAGCUAAACAGCAUAAUAUUUUCUAUGAAACUGCAAUGCACAACAAGCACGUUGUACCUAUUUGUACGACAUGCGAAUACCGUAUGGCGUACGUGAAUACGUGAAUAUCAACGUAACAACUGACAUUUCAUAAAUCCCAUAUCCUAUGUCUAUACAAACAAUUAGCAAGUAAUCCGAUUUCUCGGUAAAUGGCUGCAAGCGCGUUGCUUUACCAUCGUCCAAUACAUACGUUGCGCUAGCAGAAAAUAAGACAGAGUAGAGGAGCCGUCGUCAGCUUACCGUGGUAUCGUCGUCAACGUUUAUUUGCAAGGAAAUACAUCACGAUCAACGGUUUUCCAAUCGAUUUGCCUAAUACUGCAGACAUCGAACUUUCACUAGUGUAGUCCUUGACGUUGUACGCAGAAGAAAGAAUACCAAUUAGAAGAAGUAGAAGAAGAAAUUGGACAGAUCACAGCCAUUUGUAAGUAAGUACUAGCAAGUACCUAUAACUGUGUUUGUCGGAAACUGUGUUGUCGUGCAAACGCACGCCACUUUUAACCAUACGUAUUUGUAUCGGUCUUUGCUACAAUCAGUAAACGUAUUCGCUUCCAUUUUCAUCCAAUUUCAUAUCAAGUCCAUUCCUUUUCCAACUCUCAUUAUUGUCUCUUUUAUCGUUGUAAACGUUAGCAAAGAUCUCGAAUUAUUUUUCUAUUGCUAUCCUAUUACUAUCGUGUUACUGUCGUAUUUCCGUGGAAAAAAAUUAUGUUUGCCAACAACGAGUGGUCAAUCUUGCAUAUAUCAUGGUGUCGUGGAAUUAGUGGCGGCGCGCUAUAUCGAUCAAUUUCAACCCCAACACCAACACCAAUCCCACUUCCACUCCUUACUCCAAUUUCAACUCCAACUUCAACUCCGAUUCGAAGCUAGUCGUUUGUGGAUGGGAACAACUCGGAACUAGUCCAACCUUUGGCCGUUUUCCCUUUCCAUCCUUUCCUCGAUUCAUGUAAGUAACAACCCCACAUAGACUUACAGACCGUUAGAACGACGAACGAGUUUCAACGAUUGAACACACAAGUCUCAAGUAUCUUUAUUUUUCACUAUCUCUCCUUAUUCCUUGACGAUUCUAACAUUGAUUGUAACAAUUUUGCGACUAUUUCGUUUUAUCCUUCCCCGUAUUUUAUAUUUCUUUUCUUUGGUACUAUCUAUCAUCCUAGUAUCCUAGGAGUUGGAUAUUUUUCGGAAGCCCCUGAUUCAAUUUGGUUUGCCUCGUUCACUAUACUGUAGAUCGGUAUAUCGGAACAAUUAUGCGGAUACGGUAAGUGGUUGGGCGGUUGAGCGGUUGAGCGGUUGAGCGGUUGAGCGGUUCAACGGUUGAACGGCAAACGUCAAGCGAGGAUUUGCCAGAGUAUGCAGACGAUCGAUGCAU